ACUCAUAUUGUUUCCUUCUCUUAAAAAAAGCUCAGAUUGCUUCUUCUCCCAUGUCCGUCAACUUCACUUCACCGCUGAGGGUUUUUUAAGGGAUAAACUCGUUUUGAUUUUGUUUAAGAUAGGAGUAUUGGGGAGAGUGAAGAACAUUGAAGAGCAAGAUCUUGUUGAAGAGCAAGAUGCUCUCCAAGUUAGCCCCCCGAAAAGACCACUGGGAUCUUUUUAAUUUAUUAAGCUCUAGUGCUGGAGAAAGCUUCUAAAUCAGUUUGGGAGCUGAUUUUGACAGUAAUGGUCUGGGGAAGGAAAUUAGUGAGAUGGUUGAAAAGAACUCAACCCUGCAGGCAUUGGUUGGAGAAAACUAUGGAGGAAACUUGCAUAUGUCAUUGAAGCAUUAAUGCUGCACUUAUUGUGUGAUUCUCUGCUUGAUUAACCUUGUUCCAGUGUCCAAGCAGUGCACUGUGCAAUUCAUGAGGGAUAAUUACCUUUAAACCAAAAUGCAAAAUUUGGGGAGUGAAAACCAUAAAUUGGAGGCCUGUAUGAAAGUGUUAUGCUUGCGAGCCUAUGAGCCAGACAAGACAGUUCAAGCAUUGAGCUCGUUUUCGAAACAAGCUAUAUUAGGCCCAAGCUUCAGCUUCAUUAACUUCAUAACCGGGCCCAAUCCAGGCAUAAGAGUUCCUGAGACAGAGAUGGGACCUCCCUGAUAAGAUUCUUACACCCAGAUCUUGGAAACAUUUACAAGUUCUGUUGGUGUUGAAGUGCAUGGCAGUUAAGUUAUUGGAAAUACUUGAUUGUAGUAACUUGUGAAUUGUCGCUGCCUCUCCUGCUCCAAAUCUGCACCUUGUGUUGAAAUUUGAAAAUCUGUGUAUUUAAUACAUGAAAGUCCUGUCUGAACUUGGGAGCUCUUGUUCCAUUUGGUUUUGUUGGGUUUAAUAUUUUGUAUAGUAUUGCAUAGGUCGUAAACUAGAGGUGAAGUUAGUUACUCAUUAGUUUCCUCAUAUCCACUUGCUCUCCUUAAUUGGGCGAUUGCAGGCACUUCAAAAUUAUCAAAAAAAAAAAAAAGAAAAAAAAGAAAAAGAAAAGAGCAGGCACUUCGGAUUGUAGGAUUGCCAAUAGGGCCAAAAGGCUCUGCAGUAAAAAGGAUAAAUGUAGGUCUUUCCUUGCUCAAUUACUUGUAAAUAUAAUGGCAUGAUAUGAUUAUUGUUGUUAGAUUUUGAAAUCCUAUGAUGUAUAUUACUUGUAUUAGUUUGACUCAAGUGUUAUGAUGCAUGUAAAAAUUAGAUGUAUCGACAUAAUUUGACUAAGGGAUUCAGUUUUAAUUGUCUCAAAUUUUAACAUA